rnacentral:lncRNA from 1 species
GCAAAUUAUUGUAUAACCUAAUAAAUGGAUUCAGGCUACAACAUUUACUAAGAAACUAUGUUUAAGACGAGGACUAUUCGAUAAUGAAGGAGGGGCGACGAACUUCGAAAUAGAAUGACAUGAAAAUGCAAAUUAUCGAGAAAAAAAAAAUGUUUUCAAAAUCGAUAUCCUAAAUCACAAAAUGUUUAAAAUAAUUAUCUUUAUACGCCCGGCA